rnacentral:rRNA from 1 species
AGAGUUUGAUCAUGGCUCAGGAUGAACGCUAGCUACAGGCUUAACACAUGCAAGUCGGAAGGGGAAACGACUAUCGAAAGCUUGCCUUUUGAUGGGCGUCGACCGGCUACGGGUGAGUAACGCGUAUCCAACCUGCCCACCACUUGGGGAUAACCUUGCGAAAGUAAGACUAAUACCCAAUGAUAUCUCUAGAAGACAUCUGAAAGAGAUUAAAGAUUUAUCGGUGAUGGAUGGGGAUGCGUCUGAUUAGCUUGUUGGCGGGGUAACGGCCCACCAAGGCAACGAUCAGUAGGGGUUCUGAGAGGAAGGUCCCCCACAUUGGAACUGAGACACGGUCCAAACUCCUACGGGAGGCAGCA